AUAGUAUUCUCUUCGUCUGGAAAUACUUGUCAUUGAAAUGGAUGUAUCUAGAUGUAUUUCAGUUCUAGAUACAUCUAUUUUCAUCCAUUUUGAUGACAAGUAAUUUCGGACGGAGGGAGUAAUAU
rnacentral:pre_miRNA from 1 species